UUUCAGUCCAUUUGAUCAUCUGAUGAGAAUUAUUUAUUGAAUACCUGUCCCAGGCGCUGCAUGUACAACAGAAGUAAAAUCCAGAUGAGAUUAUUACCUUCAUGGAGCUGACAGUCUCCUGGGAGAGAUAAAGAAACUGAAGCACAAUAGAGAAACAAUGGGCCAAGGUCACAUUUAAUUAGAUUAAAAUGAAAAGGAGAAAGAGCUGGUGUUGCUGCUUUGAUGGUGUUUAAUAAUGUAAAGAAAAAAAUGAUUCUCGUUGUGAUUUUGUUUAACAACAGAGAAUGUUGUCUUAUUAACUGAUUUCAGCAAGUAUUUCAAUUGAACAUCUAUGUUUAUAUGGAUUAAAUAUACACA